GGAGAGUCGGACCAAAAUGCAGCGUGGUAUUCUUGAUACAUGUUUAAUGACGAUGAAAAAAACUAACAAUACAAAAACGUAACGUGAAAACCUAUACAGCCUAUCUGGUGCAAACAAACACAGAGACAGGAACAAUCACCCAUGAAACACUCAAAGAAUAUGGCUGCCUCAAUAUGGUUCCCAAUCAGAGACAACGAUAAUCACCUGCCUCUGAUUGAGAACCACUUCAGGCAACCAUAGACUUUUCUAGAUAACCCUACUAAGCCACAAUCCCAAUACCUACUAAAACCCCAAGACAAAACACACCACAUAAUAAACCCAUGUCACACCCUGGGGCCUGUUGCACAAAAGUAGAAUUAAGACAUCCGGGAUAAAUGACUCAGCUGAGCUCAAUGAAGCCAAAACAUGUGCGUCCAGGCUUAAUUGGUUGCACAAAGACCAAGCCAGGAUGAGCAGACACGGAUUCAUUAAGCCAGGUGAAACCAAUCCUGGAUAGGUGCGUGCUCACGGCUCACUCAAAUAGACCCCGCCACAGAUCACAGAUUAACUGAUUUACCAUGGCAACUAGAGCCGCGUACUUUUCCCCGUCGGAAGCACAAAUCCUCAUGGAGGCAUACGAGGAGGUAAAAUAUAUAAUUAAGAAGAAAGGCAACACCGCCACAGUGAUAAAGCAAAGAGAAAAAGCGUGGCAAAGUAAUUGCAGACCGCCUGAAUGCGUAUCACCGCUCCGCUGAAACAUCACAAUUACAAUUCAAAUAUUUAAUUCACAUCUCCAAAAAUGCAGUUGUACUGUAAUUAUGAAACGGUUAAAUUUUUAAUUGAAAUGCACUGCAGAUAUGAGUGAAAUUGUGUAAAGUAACUCCAUCACACUGUAUAAAGCUAUGAUAAAUUUUUUGAUAUUUUUACUGAAAACAAGACAAAAAUACCAAGUAAUUUUUUGCAGUGUGACUCCAUUAAAUGUGUGUGUGUGUGUGUGUGUGUGUGUGUGUGUGUGUGUGUGUGUGUGUGUGUGUAGAUUAAACAUGAACGGGCCAAAACGGACAUGGCAGCAGGUCAAAAUCAAAUACAAGAACAUUCUGCAGAAUUCUUUUACAGGACCCAGAUGCUAUACAGUGGGAAAACCAGCCUGGCAACAUAGUGCGUAUUAAUAAAAGGACACCACAUCCUGCCAAAUUCCAGCUGCGCUAAUUGUAUUGUGUUCACAGAGCUCACAAGCUAUCAGAAAGUUGUAUGGCAACCACCUCCGGCGCCAAAUAGAACUGGCAGACAGACAUUCAGUACAAGAAGAAAAAGAUGGAAAAUCUUGCACUGGAGUCCGAAAUAAAAAAGAGGACAAUUAGGAAAAUGGACCUUGAAAUAAAAAAACUUGAGAGGGAGGUGAGAUAUGCCUUCAAUGUACACUGUAUGCUAACUGUAACACAAAUGUAUUAAUCAUUAUUUUUCUUUCCUCCCCCAGCUCCAAGAAGAUGACACAGCUCAAAAUAAAAAUUAGGUAUAUUCUCGUAAAGUCAAGUGAGCCAUGACAUAUGAGCUCUUAUUGUGAGCACACAGGACGGUGGCAUCUUUCUAAGUUUUUUUUUAUUUUCCCAGCAAUCAGUACAACCAAGUCAUCGUUAUAAGGCAUCGCCCUCUUUUGCCCACCCCCCCAGCACCAGGUGUGGCCACUAGCCUAUAUGAAGGCCCAAAAUUGUGUGUUCCUUUCUGCUCUGACAAUGGCAUGCCCAUUCGUGCGAGAUGUGGUGGAUGAAGAAGCACUUGUGCUGAGGAGAGCCUUCAGGCGAGAAAGGGUCUUCAGGGACCGGUUGGACCCACUGGCCUUCCCUGAUGACCAUCUAUAUGAAAGAUACAGGUUUUCUGCAGAUGGCAUCAGGUAUCUAUGCAGACUACUGGGUCCCAGGAUUAAGCACCGCACUGCACGGAGCCAUGCACUGAGUGUGGAGCAAAUGGUUUGUGUGGCCUUGCGCUUUUUGCUAGUGGAGCCUUCCUGUACUCAGUGGGGAUGCAGAACAGCUGAACAAGGCCACAAUUUGCCGCACAAUAAGGAGUGUGUGUCUGGCUAUCAAAGCAUUAGCAGAUGUCUUCAUCUCCUUCCCUGGCCACAGAAGACUCUGUGACAUCAAAGAGGAGUUCUAUAGGAUUGCAGAUGGUCUGCAAUGCUGACUGUGUGAUCAGCAAUGUUGUGGCAAAAUGGCCUGGCUCAGUCCAUGACUCCAGAAUCUUUCGGGCCUCUGAAAUCUAUCAGUGCCCAUCACAAGGUGAAUUCUCUGGUGUGUUGCUGGGAGACAGGGGGUAUGGCUGCCAGCCUUUUCUCCUGACACCUUUCACAGACCCCAGGAAGCACAGCAGGCCUACAACCAUGCCCAUGCCAGGACCAGGGCCAGAGUUGAAAUGACCUUUGGCCUCCUGAAGGCACGCUUUCACUGCCUUCACAAAUUAAGGGUCAGCCCUGUUAGGGCAUGUGAUAUUACUGUGGCUUGUGCUGUCCUCCACAAUGUGGCCUGCCUGAGGAAGGAGAGGGCCCCCAGAGUGCCACCAGCCAUGGACUGGGACAAUCCGGCAAUCUUCCCUGAUGACGACAGUGGUCGGCUGCUGAGGGACCAAUAUGUGUUGAAUUAUUUUAGUUAGUAUGUGUGCUUUCAAUUUUGGUUAAAUAUGUCCUGCGGUGGCAGAGGAAUUUGGGUUUUUUUGGGGUCGUUUUUUGACGAAUUUGGCCUCUUAUGAUGUUUGUGCGGUAUACUGUGUGUAAUACAAGGCUGCAGGGAGGCUACUGCAUCCAUUCAUUUGUCUGUUCAGUUGAUGUGUAUGGAUUUGUCCUGCAUUUAUUUUAGUGUGCAGACAUGCAGGGUGUGUUAUAUACAGACCUUUGAAUGUGUAUGUAUCAUUUUGUAUAAUAUGCUUGGAUUCUGUGCUUUCCAUCUUGUAGAGUCACUGUGACUUCAGUUUCGAAAGGAGCUGAUGGUUUACCUGCUUUGUUUUGUCCUUAUUCAAUAAAGGAACAUAAUGUUACACAUUGUGUUUUUAUAUUCAUA